CGCAUUUUUAUUAGUUACAGAUUUUUGGUAGCAUGAGCGGCGGGUUUCGGCGGCCGCGGUCGGCGCUGCCGUCGUGUCUAGUGCGCGCCCCUCUGACCGGCGCCAUGAGAGCGGCUUCGCCUGUGGAUCUCAUGGACAGUGCGUGCAUCAUUAACCUUCUAUAGUCCUCCCCGGCGAAUCGCAUCACAUCGCCGGCCGGAGCGCCGGCCAUCUGGCCGUUCCCCUUUGCAGUGUGGUACGCCGUCUCGGCCGAAGCUGCAAUCUCCUCCGGCGCCCGCGUUGCUGAGCGGAGUUUCCUCAUGCAGCAGCAGCGCCGGCAACUCCUAUCCAUCUACCAAAGAAAGUGGCAUUAUCUUAUCCAUUCAGUAUGCAUCUUUUCCUCUUUACUGUGCGUUUGCACGAACAGAAUGAAAGGCCAUUUUGAAUCACUUGGUGACAUAAUAAUUCGUGGGAUGUAAACUUUGUCACCAAUGAAUUUGACUCAUGAUGUAGGUGUUAAUCUGGUCAACAGUCUCGUUCCUUGGGCACAGGAUCGCUCUUUCCUCUAGUAUCCAGUUUGCAAAUUCAGCUGUCUUUGCUUUCUCUUCUGGACUACCUUCGGAUGAAUUCAGACGCAUAUUUUCUGAUUUGUCUGAAGUCACCUCCCAAGACUACUGUCAUUCCUCCAAACGGUCUAUGCUCGGCAUCCUCAUUUGUGAAUCGAAAAUCGAACUAUCUGGUAGUGGCAUUCCUGGAAAAUCUUUGAGGGACUUACCACCUUUAGCCAAUAGGUGUUCGAUCUCUGCCAAGAGGAGGCUCUUUAUUUGCAAUGAGAUCAGUCACCUCGCAAAAUAAAAGUAUUGUGCAGAAAAGUUGGCGCAUUUGAGGAGCAGAGGCCCAAUGGGAUGCUUCCUUGAUGCAGUCAUCCCACUCCUUGUCGUCAUUAAGUAGCCCAAGAGCAUAACAUGCAGAUUUGUAUGUUGGAUAUACAGCCCCAUCAACUGUUCGGGUUUCUUCAUAGGAUCUGCAUCCUUUCACGGUAUUUAGAAGCAUUCUCAAGUAGUAUUUUUCACCGCUUGUUGGUUGUGCAUAGUAAAUCCUGCCUAUGGUUUUUUUACCACCACGUCUUUUCCUCCAUUCUUUCUCUUUUGCAUGCCAAGUCCAUUUGGUUGGAAACUGUGCAUACGUCAAACUGCGAGCUUCCUCAUGCAAUUGGUUGGCUGUCAUCCAUUCUGUGAACAUUGUCUUUUCUAUGUUAGGCCGAGAUAUGAUUUUAUCUAAAUCCAUCGAGUCUGGGAAUACCACAACAUGUUCAUUUUCUAGGUGAAAUUGUAACCUUUCAACCGCAGGCUCUCUAUACUGAAGAGGAAACUGAAAUAUGCGCCAUGCGGCUUCACAUCCAGAAAUGUACCAAGCAUCAAGGUAUCUCUUGAUUUCGUCGUCCCUGUUUGUUAAUUUGCCACCUCUUGUUUCUCUUUGUUGCUCUUCUGUUUCUAUUAAUACAGUUGUUCGAUCUUCUCCUUUGUGGAUGUAUUUGAAUAAAUACUUUAUAGACCUUGAUCUGUUGCACCAUUCAACAUUUAUGUGGGCUUGAUACUUGACCAGUAUGUUUCUAUUGUAUGGCACAACAAAUUUAUUGUCUAGCUUCACUCCGUUUUUGUCCACAGUAUUGCCAUCAUCUCGUCUUCUAUAUACUGGAUAGUUAUCUUCAUCUAUUGUAGUUUCAGUGCAAAACCUCUUGGGGAAAUGUUUGGCACAACUUUUAUCGACUAUGCAUGGUGAUUUUGGGUGUGCUUGACCGCAGGGACCAUGUAUCAUGUAAUUUUGCACUGCUUCAUACCCAUCUGGAUCACUAUUCUUGUCAGGAAUUUCGGCUGAUAUGAUUUUGUCGAUCUGGGAAGGACUGGGAUCUUUAUCAUCUGGAUGUAGAAACACCAGUAUAUGUGCAUGAGGGAGGCCUCUUUUUUGGAACUCUAUCGUGUAGACAACUGCAUGCAAGUAAAGAAAUUUUAGAAGAAAUGAUUUUGGACAAUCAUCUAGGCAAUAGUAAAUCUGUAGUUGGUUGGUAAACUUACUCGCAAUUGUUUGUCCAAAACACUUCUCGUUCUUUAUGUCAUACAUAAGUUCCUUCAGUUUUAACAUGAAUACUCUGGCAACAAUGUCUGGACGAUCUUCAGGUUUCUGGCCUGGAAUCAGAUCCAACAUAUCCUGUAUUUCCGGCCAUUUCGGAUUGCAUGUAAAAGUGAUGAAGAGAUCAGGAUAGCCAGCCCAACGACAAAUCGCCAUGGCAUCUUGGUAGUUUUGCUGCUUAUUUCUAGGGCUACCAUUAUAUGUUGAGGGUAGUAUGAUUCUUUGGCCAACUUGUUCAGUUCGUGUAUCUCCAUUUUCUAUUGCAUCAUGCAGUCCUUUGUAUAGUUCUGUCCUCAGCUUACCUUGGUUUGUCCUGUACCAAUUUAGUCUCCAUUGUUCAAUGCACGUUGCUGCAUCAACUAAGAACUGUAGGAACAAACGUCCACUCAUUUGCAAGGUUGUUGCUUGGUUAAGACGUUGUUGGAUGCGAUAUGCAUAAAACUCCAGUAUUGUUACAUACUUUCUCUUACACUUGUCGCCUCUCUUUUUUUGAUACUCUAUUUCUGGUCUGAACCCAUCUUCUCCAUAUGGAAAAAGCAAGGGGUAUUGCAUUGACAUAUAGCUUGGGUGCAACUCUGAAAUCCUCUGUAACAUUCUGUCUUUGGUCUCAAUUAUUAUAUCAAAUUCAUUAUUUUCUCCAUCUUGUUCCCCGAUAAUUAGUGCUGCAACUUCUGAGGCAGAUGGGAGGUUGUAUUGCCGUCCAUCUUUUGACCUUUUGUUGAUCAAUCUUAGUCUUACAUCUUUAAUUUCUCGGUUUUCGAACCUGUCCCUUGCCAUACGAAACGAUUUGACUAAAACAUUGUGCUCAUCUAGCAUCUCUAGUAGACCUUUGACAAUGUUUUCAUCUGGCUUUGUCUUACUCUCCAUUGAAGUUGAUGCAGUAAUCCUGUUACGCACUUCAUUUUCUGUGUCAUGUAUGUACAAUUGGGCAAAUUUUGGUUUCAUCACGUCAUCUUUAGGAAGUAAAGUGCCAAUCUGAUGGUAGUUUUGGCCAUUCAAACGGAAAACAUAUGGUCCAGGUGUCUGCUUAUUAAUUUCAUAGUCAACCUUUCCUCCCAUUGAAGUGAACGCGAACAUGGAGUUGUACAACCUGAUGUUCUGGCGAAAAUUGGAUGACUCUCCUCUUUCAUUGUAACGUAGUAGCUGUCGGAGAUACAACGGAGCUUGCUUCAGUGGUGGUAAUUUAAUUUUCCCUUCCUUGCAGCAGAGACCAAAUUUUGGAACUGUGAUGUUACGUGUGUUUGUGCUUCUCUCUCCAUGCCACAUAAUGACAUUGCAAAAUUCACAAACGCAAUUUGGUUUUCCAAAAUUUGAAACUUGAGUGACAUCCUUUGCUAUAUUUGAUACUUCACAGCCAUUAUUGUCCUUUUCCGUCCUUAUUCGUUUCCUUUCCC